rnacentral:misc_RNA from 1 species
ACCUCUUUUUUUCUCUGAGUUGAACGGGAAAGCAUGGAUUAUAGAUGCUUCUGAUCGUACUGCAUCAAAAUUCAUCCCUAGAUUGAGACCCCAUUGGAGGAUAGCUUUCUCUGUCGGCGAUCCAGAAAUCUCAACAGCACCACCACCCUGUGGUACAAAAACGCUGCCAGUUGUAUUCAGUCCCACUCCUUCAUGAAGCAGAGACAACACAGUUGGGGGCACUUCAGAUCUAUCAUCAGGUGGAUCAAUCUUUUUACCAGAGAUGUAGACCUCAACCACAGUCAUCUGAUUUAAAGUCAAAGUUCCUGUUUUAUCACUGCAAAUUGUAGUUGCAGAGCCCAUGGUCUCACAAGCAGAAAGCCUUCUCACCAAAGCCUUAUCUGCCAUCAUUUUCCUCAUAGAAUAGGCAAGCGUUAAAGUAACUGCCAAAGGAAGCCCUUCAGGCACUGCCACAACCACAAUUGUAACAGCAAUAGUGAAGAUUUUUAUAGCUCCAUCUACAGCCUUGCCAACUUUUGUUUUCCCAGCUUUAAAUUGAGGAGAUCCGUCCGGGUUAUAAGUAUGACCAGUAAAGAAUCUGAUCAUUAGGACAAUCAGAACAAGUAAAGCUACAGUGAGCCCAACUAUGCCAAUGAAGGUUGCCACCCCAUUCAGACGAACCUGCAAUGGUGUUUCCUCUCCAUUAUCCUCUGUAAUGCUUGCCAUCAGCAAUCCCCAUUCUGUGUUUAUUCCAACACCUACCACCAGCAUCAUUCCGUACCCAUCAGCUACUUUGCAUCCAGACAUUAGGAAAGGAGAUUUAGAAUCCUUGUGAACAAUCUUGCUCUCUCCCGUCAUGCUUGAUUCAUCAAGUGCGAGAGAUUGACCCGAGAUUAAUAUUCCAUCUGCAGGUACCUGGUCACCUAUUUUCAGAGGUACAACAUCACCAACAACUACAUCAAAUAUUGAAACAGGAAUUCUUCGCCCACCUCUAACGACCUCAAUUUGUAUGUUCUGCUUCUCUUCAUUAAGAUUUUGGAAUUGAAGUGAUUGUUUAUAGUCACUAACAGCUGUCACAACUAUGACAAUAAUCACUGCCAAGGCAAUGCUUCCUCCAUCAUACCAUCCUUCUUUUAUACCCUCAGUCUUUAUGCCCAGCGCCAAUGAUGCAGCUGCGGCUACCAUCAAAAUUAUCAGGGUUGUAUCACAGCAAGCUUCCCAAACAAACCUCCAGAAACUCCUUCCUUUCUUCCGAGGAUAUGUGUUGGAUCCAUAUGCAUUCUUUCGCUUCAGCAGAUCUACUUCAUCUCCAUCAAUUCCUUUAUCUAAAUUUGUUUUCAACUUCUCGGAGACCCCUUUAACCCCUCCACAAUUCUGCAAAGCAGUAACAUCAUGCUCUCUAGACAUAAAAGUCAACUCCUCCUGGCUGAUAUCAAACUCGCCAAGAGAGGGAGUAGUUGGAGGCAACCUUUGAAGAGACCCAUCCCCAUUGACUGCUUUCCCUGCUUCUUGAAAAAGAACAGCCGCCCGAAUGACUUGUGCAUGGGUUCUUAUCUUAGCAAUCAAUUGCUUUCUUUCUUCUUCCUUUUUUAAGUCCAAUGUAUAUCGAAAUCGACGAGAAGCAUUA